GCGGAUACAACGUAGUGGUUAGGGUGUUUGACUCUCAGCCAAAAGGUACUGGGUUCGAUCCCUGAUGUCCCCA